rnacentral:rRNA from 1 species
GGAAUCUUAGACAAUGGGGGAAACCCUGAUCUAGCCAUGCCGCGUGAUCGAUGAAGGCCUUAGGGUUGUAAAGAUCUUUCAGUUGGGAAGAUAAUGACGGUACCAAAAGAAGAAGCCGCGGCUAACUCCGUGCCAGCAGCCGCGGUAAUACGGAGGGGGCUAGCGGUAUUCGGAAUUACUGGGCGUAAAGCGCGCGUAGGCGGGCUGUUAAGUCGGGGGUGAAAUCCCGGGGCUCAACCCCGGAACUGCCUUCGAUACUGGCAGCCUGGAGUCCGAGAGAGGUGAGUGGAAUUCCGAGUGUAGAGGUGAAAUUCGUAGAUAUUCGGAGGAACACCAGUGGCGAAGGCGGCUCACUGGCUCGGUACUGACGCUGAGGUGCGAAAGCGUGGGGAGCAAAC